rnacentral:rRNA from 1 species
CUAGCGGCGAACGGGUGAGUAACACGUGGGCAACCUGCCCCUAGCUCUGGGAUAACCCCGGGAAACCGGGGCUAAUACCGGAUACGACCGCACUAGGCAUCUUCUGCGGUGGAAAGGGUUUACUGGCUAGGGAUGGGCCCGCGGCCUAUCAGCUUGUUGGUGGGGUAACGGCCUACCAAGGCGACGACGGGUAGCCGGCCUGAGAGGGCGACCGGCCACACUGGGACUGAGACACGGCCCAG